ensembl:miRNA cin-mir-5598 cin-mir-5598
GUGGUUAGCGCGCCUGCCCGUAACCCAGAGGGAAUGGGUUCAAGGCUCGUCGCUGCUAC